UCCGGGGUAUUUCAGCGGUAGAAAUCUCGGCUUGUCUCCGAGCAGGCGAUGGUUCGACUCCAUCCCCCGGAC
rnacentral:tRNA from 1 species